AUUGCCAUGGUGCUGUAAUUUUGAUUUUUAGCUGUUAAGUGAUUUUAAAUUGUUAUUUUUUUAUUCUAUUUGCAUACCCUUAGGCUUUCCUAAGGAAAAGUGGGACAUUCUGGGAUCAAAUCAGAAACCGGGAUGACAUCUCUAAAUCAGGGAUGUCCCUGGAAAAUAAGAACACAUGGAGGGUGUGUAUUUGUAUUAUUGUUCUUAAUUUCUGUUUGUAACCUGCCACAAAAGCUAUGUGCAGAAAAUAGGAAGAUAUCUUACUCUGCAAUCUAAUGCAUGCUUACUCAGAAGUAAGUACCAGUGUGUUCACUGGGGCUUAUUCCCAAGAAAAUGUGCACAAGUAGCUUAUAUAAAAAUAAUAACUCAGUUCCCAAUGAGUUUGGUUUCUUUUGUACCUAGAAAUUAGCAAUAAAUAUUUAAUUUUUAAAAUUUAAUGUGACUUCUGAAUAGAAAUGAAUAGAAUAGAAAAUAUACACUCAUUUAUUUUAUUUAGAAUCAUUUAUUUUUUAUUGUUUUAAUUUAUGAUUUGCCUUCUUCACAUGUGUCAAGCAAUUUACAAGUUAUAGGUGUAGAGAAAGAAUAUCGCACAUGUGUUUAUUUUACAAUUUUUAUCUUGUUUUUAUUUUUAUAUUCAUGUAAAGCCCAAAGUUUAUUCAGCUCAGAUUGUAGAUCCAUUCCUGGGAAAUCUAGAGACCUUUUUCUUGUUUCGUUUCAUCCUUUCCUAUUAAUUCAUGCUUUUCAAACCCUGUUUAGGACAAAUUGGAUUUUCUUUUGAUUUGUAAAACCUGUUACUUCAUAUAUUUAACGAAAGGCUAAUUUCCAUCCAUAAAUGAAAUGUUUUAAAAAGAAAAUGGUUUCCCUUAGCAUUAACACAGACUUUAUAAGUUAUUUCUGUGUGGGAUUUUUUAAUACCCGUGAAAUACUUGUGCCUUGAAUAGCCCUUUUAAAUUUAACCAGAAUAUCUUUUUUUAUAAUUGAUUUUAGCAUUGAGUACUAUUUGGCACUAUUUCAAUCAGCUUCUCUUUUAAAACAAAAUAACUAAUUCUCCUGCUUUUAAGAGCAAUUGGAUUAUUGCUCAUUCAAAGUCUAUUAUACUCUCCAACCCCAUUUUUGUUCAUAAAUGAGCUGGAAGUAUAUGACAUAUUUUGAAUGAGUUAAAACUGGAUGGGUUUUCAGCAGUGGUACAAUAUAAAAUUAUUAAUAAAUUUAGAAUAUUAAAGACAAACAAUGUCCCAUGCUAAAACGGAGAACUUCUUCAGGGGUUUGUUUUCAAAUGUUUCAACAUCUGUUAACUUAAAGUUCUACUAACAAUACAAUGCUUGGAUACAAAGCUUGCACCUAAAAUAAAAUGCUUGCUUCAUGCAAAUACAAUAACCUUGCUUUUAAAUUUGAAAAAAAAAAUAAAACAAACCUGAAAGGCGCUAUUUUCACAGACUGUUUUAUGUACACAAAAUUGAAACCAGAGAAUUAAUAUUAAACCGACCGUAAUUAUUAACCUUGGAUUAAAUUUUAUCUUUUAUAGAGAGCCAGAGCAACUGCCACCAAAAUACACUCAAACAAUAUUUUAUAUGUGAGCUUACAUAACUUUCUUGCUUCCCUGCUGGAGUAUACGUAUGCAUAGAUUGCAAAUUAUUAAUUUGUAUACAUGCCUAGUUAUGAUUCCAUUGGCUCUGACAUUAGGCUUGUUUCUUGUAAUAAAGGCCACUGUUGUAUGUAUACUAUCUUAAAUGGUCUUUUUGUGACCUUGGUCUGUACCCUCCAACAAAUGAGCAGGAUUUUUUCCCCCUGAUGGACAUUGGGAGGGGGGGAAUCAUCAUUAUCCAUGCGGUGCACCAAGGCAUACAAACUUCCUUGUGACCGUAUUUAAAGAAACGGACACAAAGAAAUAGUCAUUGCAGUUACAAUAGGGGAAAUCUAGUAUGCAUUUCCAAGGAAUCACAUUUUGGGGAGAAUUACAGAAUAAUUACACAUAUGCUUAGAUCACGAGCAUUCAAUGAAGCGGACAAUAUUUUGGGGAUUUAAGAUGUUGGUGUUGUGGUCGUCUCUAAGAAACCAGGAUAAUUCAGACAUUCAAAUGCAAAAAUGCACCAUUUGGAGAGUGUAAUGCGGUCUGUUCUGGUCAGUGUUACAAAUUCGGAAAGGAUUCCCUGGCUGCAGACAUUAGCCACUUAAUACUUAAAUCUGUUUCCAAAUGUAAAGCAUAGAACAAAAGUGCUUUGCAUUAAUGAAAUGUAUCCUAACACUAGGUGUAGUGACACAUUUCAUUAAUGUGUCACACUGGUGACAUAAAAUAUAAUUACAAAAGAUAUGCCUGUCGCAGAGACUGAUAGAAUCUUUGGAUUGUACCAAAAAUAGAUAGAAAUGUCUGAAGAACUUUAAAUAAAAGCCAGGAUGUGCAAACUGUUAACAGGAGUUUUGAGAGCCAUGAAUAUGUGCAUUGACUUUAUUUGGGUUAUAGGAUCAAACCAUGAAAAAUAGUCCAGAGCAAAACAAAUAAGGAGGGAAAUAGAAGUAGGCAAUAAUAAAAUAUUUCUAAAUUAUUACAAUGUAAUUGGCACCUUGUACUUAACUCCGAGCUCUCUGAAUUUUGCCUUCUAAUUCCCAUUCUUUCUCCCUAGCAGAUGAUUGGUGACUUUUGCAUACAACCUGAUCAGAGCUAGCUCUGCAUGUGCAACCCUGACUCCUCAAUCAAAUGUCCAAUCCCUGGGAAAUGUGAGCACAUAGCUGUUUGUGCGUACAUUUCCUCCUGUUGGAUCAGGGCCAGCAAGUUCAGCAGCCUUGAGAGUAUAACAAUAAGCAGCAUUGAGCUAUGAAAAGUGCAUUUGUGGUAACUGGUAUUCAGAAGUGACCAGUUUAUUUUUUUCCAUAAGGAGGGAUAUUAACAGCAAUAUUGAUUGUGUAAUAGAAGGGAGCUCACGUAAUGUUAAAAAUGGUUGGCUAAUUUCAGCAUGUAAGUAGGGCUUUUAGAAGGAUCACAGCAUUUCUAAAUCAUUAUUUUUUAACACAUUGAAUUAUAUACAUAGAAGGAAGUUAACUGGCUUCCUUGGAGUUCUGAAACAGAUAAAAUUUAGUAGUUAGGUAAAAAUAUCAGUGCUGAUAAGCAGUUCAAUCCAACUUAUUGAAGAGUUAUUAAUUCUCUCUGAUCACCAAGAAUGUUAAUACCAAUGUUAACACCAUUACCAUAUUUAAUUAAUUACUUUUAGGUGGAUUCACGUUACAAGCAAGGAGAUUCCGACUAAACAGGAAGAAUUUUCUGACGGUAAGAUCUGUUUGACAGUGGAAUAGACUCUCUUGGAAGCUGAUGGACUCUCCUUCCUUGGAGGUCUUUAAGGAGAGGUUGGAUGGUCAUCUGUCAUAGAUGCCUUAGUUGAGAUUCCUGCAUCACAGGGUGUUCGACUAGGGACUAGAUGAUCUUCAGGGUCUCUUCCAACUCUACAAUUCUAUGAUUGUAUGUGCUGUUGGAGGGAGAGACUGAGAGGGAGCUUAGUUUGGGCUUUGUAAGCAUCUUAGGGUGCUGACUUUCCCUAGAGAUCUGAUAUGUUUGAGCAGUGAUUCUGGUCAUCUAUGAAGUGUUCAAGCUGCGUGUUUCCACUUUUGCUCAACCUGUAUAUCUAUAAAGAAAUAUCAAUAUCGCGGAAUGGCAAUAAGCCUCCAACAACUUCCUUCCAAACAGAACCAAACCCAAGUUACUGCUGCAAUCCUGGAACUUCUCACCUCAGUGGGAUGAGCAUGACAAUAUCAUUACAGUGGUACCUCGGGUUAAGAACUUAAUUCAUUCUGGAGGUCUGUUCUUAACCUGAAACGGUUCUUAACCUGAGGUACCACUUUAGCUCAUGGGGCCUCCUGCUGUUGCCGCACCGCCGCCACUCGAUUUCUGUUCUCAUCCUGAAGCAAAGUUCUUAACCCGAGGUACUAGUUCUGGGUUAGCAGAGUCUGUAACCUGAAGCGUAUGUAACCCAAGGUACCACUGUACCUUGCAAACUGUACAGGUUUGCAAAGUACGGUAAGAGUAAAUAAAUGGGCCUAAUUCAUAAACAACUAAAUGCCAACCAUAAUUCAUAAGAAAGAAGAAGCAAGUGUGAAUAUAUAAAAGCAAACGUAUAGCAAGUUUUGUUCAGGUGUAAUAUUUAGUUACAGCAGGUUGCAACCUUAAUUUUUAAGCCUUCUCAUUCCUGCUGCUUUUCAGUUUGUCAAGAGGACUGAAGCUUAAACAUUUAAUUAUUUUGAUCGCACUCUCCACACAUUAGUCUUAAAUGUUCAUACUUUAUUUUACUUGGAGUUGAUAACUGUUUCUUCCAUUGCACUAGUUGAUCAUGAGUGUGUGCAUUUGUGCAUCUUUUUGUAUUUUGUUCCAGUUCAGAUUCAGGUUCUGUUCCAUUAUUUAUUUUGUCUCAGGCUCAAGUUCAGUUUGAAUCCCUGCUCAAAGGAACUAAUACACACGUGGAAAUUUUCUUUUGUGUCCUCUUGCCCCUGUGUAUUGAAUGUGAAGCUGAAUGCCAGUUAGUUCAGGAGUUAUAACAGGAAAUUGAUCAUCCCAGCGUACAUAUGAAAUGUGCAGUCAUAAGUUUAGGGUAUUCUUUAGGGAACUGGAUAAAUUCAUGGAAUAUGGCUCUGUCAACAACUAUUAGCUAAAUGCAAGCCUCCAAAUACUAAAUUCUAAGGAGCAACAGCAGGAAAAACCCCUUUUUGUGACCAUACUGAGGCCUUCGUUGGCUACUAUUAAAAACAGGUUAAAUUCUACAGGUUUCAGUGGUGCUUACUCCCAGGUAAGUGGAAAUAAGAUUGCAGCCUUAGUCUGAUUUAGCCAUACAAGACUUGUAACCUCCUUGCCUCUGUCACCAGAUGGCAAUACCAAGAUCUUGUUGACUUGAUCGUAUAUCCUGAUAACCUCUUACCAAACAAGCAGAUAACAAAAAGGGAUGCUCUCGGCACCAUCAUUUGCUCUUUCCUUGCCUUUGUUUUCACCUCAAGAAUAAUUAACAAUGUCCUUUCCUCAGGUAGGCGCCUUUAAAUGUCACGGAGAGCACAUCAACCAAGACAUCAAGCAGGGGAGGAGUGUGAUUCUCUUUUUGUCUAAAGAAGUAAGACCAUUGAUUCAGAAUGAUUAACCUUUGAAUCACACAUAUUCUUGCUCCAGGAAUAUAAUAAACAGAUCUUAAAAGAGUCUGGUGGGAGCAGAUGCAUGUAAAUGCAGCAAGCAUAAUCAGUGCUCACUUCUUUGCCCUGCAGAUGGCUCCAAAUACAAAGGGAGCCAGACACAGGAAGCUGCCUAAUACUGAGUCAGCCCAUUGGUCCAUCCAGCUCAGUAUUGUCUGCACUGACUGGCAGUGACUCUCCAGGAUUUCAGGCCGGAAAUCAUUCCCAGCCCUUUGCUGGGGAUUGAACCUGUGACCAUCUGCAUGCUAGGCAGCUGCCCAACCAUUGAGCCACAGCUCUUCAUAUCUAUUGGCCAUGAUCUCAUGGACUCAUAUGUCAGCGGAAUAGUUUAGAUGUGCAGAACACAUAUAUCCAUAUACAGGGGUACCUCGGGUUAUGAACUUAAUUUGUUCCGGAGGUCCGUUCUUAACCUGAGGUGCGCUUUUGCUAAUAGGGCCUCCCGCCGCUGCGUCAUUUCCGUUCUCAUCCUGGGGCAAAGUUCUCAACCUGAGGGCCUAUUUCCAGGUUAGCGGAGUCUGUAACCCGCUUUUUCUAUAUGCAGUAACAGCAGCAAGAAUAUUAUUAGCCCAAAAAUGGAAGCAAGUAGAAUUACCAACGAAGGAAGAAUGGAGGAUGAAAUUAAUGGACUAUGCGGAACUCAACAAACUAACAGGAAGGAUUCGAAACCGGUGGGACCAGAAAUUCACCGACGACUGGAGUAAAUUUAUGGAUUAUUUGAAAAGUAUUUGUGACGACCAGACGACGUUUGUAGGUUUACAAGAAGUUCUGUGAGGAAUAAGAUAAGAAAUAUUGUAAAAAUGUAGAAUAAGAGAUGAUAUGUUAAAAGACGUAAAGGCAAUAUUAAAUUAGGAAAUGCAUAAUAAGUGAUUUAGACGAAGGAUUAUCAGAGGUGCUGAUGGAAGUCCAAUAAAUUUGUGAUAAACUGUGUGG
rnacentral:lncRNA from 1 species